GUCUUUGUUGGUGUUGGAUCAUCAUUGUCUUUGUUUGUCGGAGGAACGAUCGCGGAUGGAUGACGAUGGCGUCCGCAAAUGAACUGGAGGAACACAAGUCUCUCACCGUCAGCGCUCCCCUCCGAGUGGUCCGCCUCAGGCUUGAAACCUGCCUGCUGUGUGCUCUCCAGUCGCCGCGCAGACACCAGCGACCAGUCACUUUGGUUGCUGUGAUUUGACAAAGUCCAUAGGCAAGGUGUUUCGAAAUCACAGGAGGAAACUGCAAGACAAGAAGGCACAUGAGAUUCAUAGUCAUGGUCAAAUACAGGGUGACCAAAAAAAACCAUAACCCAUAAAAAGCUCCAGCAAAUUUUAAACACCCCCAAAAUGUUGGUAUUUUUGCAUAAAAGUCAUGGUCUUUCUAAAAUAUGCUCCAUAUGGUUACAUGGUGCUCGAGGCAAACUUAAAUAUCCAUCCAUCCAUUUUCUACCGCUUGUCCCUUUUGGGGUCGCGCGGGGGGCGGGGGGUGCUGGAGUCUAUCCCAGCUGCAUUCGAGCAGAAGGCGGGGUACAC